ensembl:lncRNA
AUGAGACCAUUAAAGAAAAACAGAGGGCGUUCUCCCCCAUUAACUAGAGGCAGAGGGGGGCGAAGGAGAGGGGGCUCACAGCCUCUCCUGGAGAAAGAACCCAAAAGAGUCAAGAGGGAGACACUUGUCAAAACCACACAGUAUACACCCAACACUCCCACACACAAACAGACCCUGCCCACAUUCGCCAACUCUAAUGAAGACCCAAUCACAAACAGCAAUACCCCCACGAUGGAGGAGUCUACUGAGCUGAGGAAACCUGUGGAGUCAGUUGAGAAGGAGGGUAAGAAGGCAGAAGAAAAGACAGAAAAGGAGAAGAUAGUGGGCACAAAUGGAAAUAGUGCUGUGGCCACUGAAUCUGUAGCAUUUCCUACCUCUUCUCCAGUGCCACUCUCCACAGCCACGCCCCCUCUGGCCACCAAUCACAGCCCCAAUUUAGGCUCAGUCUCUAGUAGGAAAACAGCCACCUUUAAGGCUCGUGUACCCAAGAAAAAAUAUACAUAUGAGCACUUUGCUAACAACGCAAAUGCCCUGACUACCAUUCCUACCUCCAGACCUGCACACAUACACAACAAUUACUGCAAUAUUAACAGCAAAAUAAGUGAUAGUGUGAAUACGCCCAAUAAUAAUUUCAAGAGUAGUAACAAUAUUAAUAAUAGCAUUAAUGUUAGCAUCAAUAGCAGUACUAACAAUAACACUACAAAAGGUAUUAACAACAUGACUAACAGUAGUGCUGGGAGCCAUAAUACUUUUAUCAAUAGCAGUAAUAGUAGAAGUAAUAAUUGCUCAGGUAAUCAGUCAUCAGUCUUAACUGUGGAUAGUAGAGCUACAGAAGCAAAGUGUUUUGUUUCCACGGAGGAUAAAGCCCUCAGGACAGCAGAUUCCCAAGCUGGGGAAAAUGAGUCAGAGGGGGCCCCUUACUCAGUGCGCUCCUCAUCCACUGAUACAGCUAGUGAGCACUCCGCUGACCUAGACAUGAUGGAAGCAGCAGGACAAAGCCUUCAUCAAAAGAACUCCAACUACCCAGCUCCUCUCCAUAACUUGCACCAUAAAGAGGCCAGUCUUUCAGAGGGACUAGCCGAAGUUCUGGCUAAAGGCAUGAAAAACCAGAGAGUUCUUGCUCGCCAGAUAAAGAGGACUAUGGAGAGUGGGGUUAGGGCUACAGGGAACAGAGGGGUUAAGGAGAUUAACUCAUGCCCUUUAUUAUCUGUGUUCAGACCAGGGGUGGUGCGUAGGGUGAGUGGAGGUAUUGUUGAAGUCCAGCUCCAAGGAGAGGAGACUCUUGUUAAAUACCCUUUCCAUGGUGGAACCAUGAUGACAUCGUCAUCAGGGGCUGAGAGCACUGUGGAGUUUAUUUUGGAUGCCCCCCCACCUGGCAUGGCACCGGUGGCAGUCAGGACUCGAGUGUGCGUGCCCUUUGGUGGAGAGGAGGGGGGUCCUCUGCUGUACAGAGAGGGGAUUAUCACUCAGGUGGACCCCCACCCCGGUGUGUCAUUUCCUUACCAGGUGCUUCUAAAUGAAGACAGAGAGACUCUGGACAAUGGAGGGGUGGGGGAAGAGAAAGAGAAAAGGAAAGCUAAUGCUCGGACUGUGUGGGUGUCCCGACAAAGUCUGAGGCUUCUCACCCCUCCUUGGGAGGUCCCACAUUUGGAUGGUGGGAGGGCAAAGGAAAGAGAGCGGGAGAGGGAAAGAGAAGAGAGGGAGCGGAGGGAGGAGAUGGAGGUAGAGAGGGAAGUGUGCCAGUUGAGUAUUGGGAUGGGGGGUGCUGGGAGGGGGAGCAAGGUUAGGCCAUAG